CUGGGCUUGUUCAGACUGGAGAAGGGAAGGCUGUGGGGUGACCUCGCUGCAGCCUUCCAGUACCUAAAGGGAGCCUACAAACAGGAGGUAUUCCUUGGACUGGUGUGAAGAAAAGCAGAUAGCAGUCCUGCUGGUCUUAAAGAACAACGUGAAGCUUUUAAGGUGACUUGCCAAAGAGAGAAAAGAGGAGACAUACAGGAGCAAUAUGAACAAAACAGAAAUUUAUGUCGGAGAGGUGCCAGAUGAGACAUCUGGGAACGGCUGGAGGACAAACUAUGCAAGAAGUUUAGCCACAAUCCAUGAAAGCUAGAAAAAUUCUGCCUCAGCUCUGUCAAAACCCCAGAAAAUGAAGCUGUGCCUGAAGCAACACGCUGCAACUAGCUGGGCAUUUUAUUUAAGGCUUAAGCAGCAACAAACAAACAAGCAAACAAACAAAAAACACUCUGAGAGGGAAACACACAGGAAGGUUUCAUGAAAUGCUGUUUCCUUUGUAUCCUGAAUGCCUUUGGAGUGUCUGGGAGGUCCUGCACGGCCUGGCCUGUGGCAAAGUGGGUCAGAGAGCAGCCUCCUGCCACCUGAUGUUUUGUUUUUGCUGAGAGGAUGGAAACACUUGCAAAGUGUUAUGAUGCUUCUGUCAGUACUCGACAUGCACGAAUACCAAGAUUCAGCAAUUUGCAGUCGUGGAUCAUAGUGCAGCAGGAGACCCCCCCCAGCAAACCCUCCCUGUGCUCCCCUGGUGCAGAACAGCUCCUGCAGCAUCACUUCCCCCCUGAGGACCCCAGGUGACAGGGGACUGAGGUGAUGCAGGGUGGCAAAUUCUGCUCUUACUGCUCCCAUCACCUGAAAAUGAAAGGGAUGGGAUAGAGCCCCCCAUGUAAUAGAAAUUCAGGGUGUUUGGGAAGCUCUUCAUGGCUUCUUCUGGUCUUAAUAAGAGGGCCACGCUACAACAUUUUAUAAUCCUGUGAGAGCCAAAAAAAGCAUCCACAAAGCCCAGCUUGCCCAGCCGCAGUGUAUGGGAAACAGCCCUCAUGAAGAAAAGUGAGCAAAAACCCCACAGUCCUUUCACUUUUGGUAAUCCCCUCCCAAGCAUUGUUCCAGCCCAGAUGCACUCUGCUUUUCCUAGAUAGAGAGAGUGGGAUCCUGGGCUGGCAUCAGCUGGCAAUGUGCCACCCACCGCAGUGCAGCUGAUGUGGCUGUGCUAAUUAGCUCUUGCCAAGGCACUGACCUGCUGUUUUCUCCCUGACAGCAUCCCAUUGGUGAAACAUGACAUUCCGUGGGGCCAGGCCAAUCUGCUGUCUUUGCCACCCUCGCACCACUCUGGCCAGCAGAGAAGCUCAGGCUGGAAGCCAAGGACAGACCCGUGGCAGGAGUAUCACUGAGCCUGUGGGAAGCCUCACACUGUAGAAAAGCCCCAGGAGGACGGGAAGCAGCCGUGGCUGUGAAUCACCCUAGAAACAAGUGAUUCGCUAUGGGUAAAUGUGUGGAAGUAGCACAGUACUGUAAAGUGUGACUAAGGCUAUUAUCACAGAGCAGUGGGAAGGCUCCCAGCCCCCAGCACUUUCUUGAGGGUAUGUUAAUUAUUGCUAGGGGCGUGAAUACCUCAUGUCUGGAAUAAGCAACUCUUACUAAGCAGCUCCAUUGCUCUGUCCAUGCUAGAAACAAUGCUGGAUUGUCUAGAAAAGACUGUCGAGAACUUCUUAUAAAAUAUCAUUAGUGGAUUGGAACUAGGUGAUCUUUAAGGUCCCUUCUAACUCAAGCCAUUCAAUGAUUCUAUGGUUUCAGUGAUAAAACUACCAUAAUUCAGUACCAUCCAUCAGUGAGUGCUCAUUUAAUUAAUGGUAUCUCCCUCUUCAGCAGCAGAGAUCUUUGCUCUGAAGAGUCAUGGUCCUAAUGAGGACUCAGGCUGCCCUUGCAAAGAGUCAGGACAGGAGAUACGAACGCUGCUGCUCUAAGAAUCCUUGCUCCGGUAACUGUGAAGAAUGAUGUCUUGUCUCCCUGUCACCAAAGCAACAAGGCCGGUGUAUGGUCUGCUCCUGCCACAACCCAGGAGCUGUUUGGGCACUCAGGUGCUGGGAGUUAGCGUAGUACUUAACACAGACCAUUUAGAACUGACCAAUGAGGAAUGUUGGUGGAAGUCCUGCCUUGUGAUUCCAUGGUGCUUGGUCACAUUGCCAGAUCCUUCUGGGUCCCCUCAUAUUUCAUGAGGAAAAAAAUUACCUUGGCUAAGUUGAACUUCGUUGUUAGGAACAUGAUGGGAGUUAUUACUCUCUUCUGGACUGCACAUGUCUGGGUGCUACCAGGGAUUUGCCAAGCCUUAGUUAACAUUGUAUCACACAGUAGUUUGGUGUCUAGAGAAUGAAAAAGUCUAAAAUAUGCAAAUGAGCCCAGAACUGAGCUGCUUCUAAUCAUGCUGGAUUUUCUGUUUUCAUUUUAUGGCCCUGCACUCCCAAGGUCACCCUGAAUGUACCGUUUCACUUGUUUUAAGGCUUAAAUUGUCCUAAUGGGCAGAAAGUUUAUAAACAGAAGGCACCAUCAUCCUUCAGAGAGAAAGGUAAUGCAUAGUGUUGUUAUGCUGGAAGCACAGAGGCAAGCACGAUUCUUACAAAGACAAGACAGCUUUUUAUGUAAAUAACCUUGGAGCAAGGACAUUACCAUAACAAGACCUUCACCAAUAACACUUUCCAUCCUAGUUUCAAAUUUUGUAUACAAUAUGCAUCGUGACAACAUUACUACAACUCUGCUUAGCUAUUCCAAAGGAGAAUGCAGGCUAGGACUAAUGAUUACACUAAUGCAUUGUGUUGGUUAAUUGAAAGAAUUUAUGUCAUGAGAUAAAUGUCAGAGUUCAAAGUCAAGCGUGUGUACGUCUGUGAGAAAGAAAGAGAGAGAAUAUAUGCAGGUAGGAUUGUCAUCAGGGAAAGGACUAAAUAUAAGCCUCUGUGAUUUUAUAUCAGGGAAAACAUCCAGAAAUCCUUUCUAGGCAAUACAUUGCAUUCUUGUGGGACAGUAAUGAUGUACAAGCAAAGCAGCAUCUGUAAUGAGCUUGUAGUCAUCAUUGAGACUGGGAGCAUUAAUGCCAAUUUAUCUGGGAGGGAAGAGUGAGAAUAUGCCACUGAUGCCAGAAAAAUCCAUAAUAUUUCCAAGCAUUUUCUUUUCCACCUGGCCAAGAGCGCACACACACACUAUUAAUGAGAACACUAUUUUUUCCUACUAGCUUCCUGGAAGCUAUUUGCUUGUCUAAAAUACUUCACAGAGUCAUGGUAUAAUAAUACUAACUACUCACUACUGCGUCUGUUAUCUCAGACAGCAACUGUACUGUGAACUUGGAAGAGCAUUUUAAAAAAUGACGAAAGCCUAUCUUGAUCAAUGUUGACUAGUCAAUUGCUUAGUAUAUGCAAAAAACAUUAUCAUCCUUAAUUGCCCCUGUGAUACUGCACUCUGAGAGGAAUAUCCCUCAAAGGAAACCCUUGGGAGAAAAUGCUACUCUCAGCUUUUAUGAGACUAAUGUGGCUUGGAGUGAAUUGAUCAAACUCAUUCCGCACAGUAACUUAAAGUGCCUACUUAGCAUUAUUCCCAGUUGGUAGAUUACUCUGUCUAGUUUAUAGAUUAGUAAAAUGUUUCCCUUGUUGUUGGUUUCACCUGCAUUUUAGCCUGUAUUAAUAUUUAAAUUCCCUAAGAACAACUUUUGUCAUCUCUUUGAUGACAACAGAAGAAAUUAAAGCAAAGCAAAGGUAAACUUUGAGAUUUAUUCUUUUAUCUCCUACUUGGUACACUACGACUUUCUCAUUAUAGCUCUUCAGAGAAACAGGCUGUACAGGUUGCAGCCAAGUGCCACAUGAGACAACGAUAUCUGACUAUUUGUUGAAAGAGUCCAAGGGCUUUGAUUCAGCAAAGCAUUUCAAUAACUGCCUCACUUUCAGCAAUGAGCAUCUCCAGGUCCUUUAAUGCUUUGUUUCUGCACUGCCCUUAGGUUCCCCAGGGUGGAUGACAAUCGUAGACUCAUAGAAUCAUGUAAUCAUAGAAUCAUAUAACAGUUUGAGUUCGAAGGGACCUUAAAGACCGUCCAGUUCCAACUCCCCUGCCAUGGACAGGGUUGCCACCCAUUUCAUCAGGUUGCCCAGAGCCCAAUCCAAUCUGGCCUAAGGAUUAGGAGAGCACACAGUCUUGCUCAUGAUCAGCAAGUCCUGCAUGGCAGAGGUGGCCUGGCAAACCUCCUCUUCUGGAAGAAGGCGAGAGCAGCAAGAGCCCCAGUCCUUGAAUCCAGAAAUUGGAGGUCCUGGCCCCUCCGCAAAGCGUUGUAGGCAGAUGGGAGCUCUGCUUGAGAGAUUUCACAGGAAAAGCCAGCAGGGAGUGUGAUCUCAAGAGAUGGAAAAGAAGCUGUACUAACCUGUUCUAGGGUCUGAGCAUAAACCUUUUCACAGAAUGUAUUGUUUUCACUCCUACACUAGAUGAGUCCAUUAGACACUGCAUCAAUUACCAAAGAGUAUGUAAUGUAAAAGGCUCCAAUGGAUGUCCCAUAUCUAACAUGCUAUUAUAUACAAAGUAUAGCCGGGAAAAUAGCUUUUAGUAUAAAAGGGUUUUGCUGGAACCUGAGGCAUAUGCAGUUAGGUUUCAGUUCACUAAUUUCUCCUUAUUGAGGGCAGGAGAGUUUGCUGUAGGGUAAUCAACAACCUGGGUCAGAAAAGACUGGCCUGAUCUCAUACAAGGCACAGAGCAAAGAAUGCUUCUCUCUUAAUUCCUGUGCAAAAUUUGCUACCAGUGUUUGGUGCUAGAAAAUCAACCAAUUAUAAUGUUAAGCUUUCCAAUCGUGGAAAAUCCACUUCAGCCCUUGUUAAUGUUUACUUACCUUCAUUGAUAGGCAAAAAUGCUUUCACUUAAUUUGUAGUCUGAACUCGUCUGGUUUCAACCUGCAUCUACAGAGUCUUAUUAUACCUUCCUGUGCCCUCUUAUAUGAAGCUGCAACGUUAGCUAGAAAGAAAAAAGCACGCGGGUGUUAUUCCACAGGAAAUUAAGGUUCAGGCAGAUAAUGAUGGUACCUUCAGUGAAUCCAAGUGGCAAUGCAUGUCACCUUGCAGAACGUAGCCAAGAGCUGCACUUUUUGGGUAAUAUAUGUCAGUCUUCUGAGAUAAGAAUUACCUACCUAGAGUCUAACAUCAGUUACAGUCACUGCCUUUUAAGACGUCGAAACUAUAAAAAGGGUCAACAUAUGAAAUAUUCAUGCUGACAUUUCCCUGUAGCGCAUCCUUUCUGGGCUCAGCCAUCUCCUCAGCCAUGCGCUCUGCAUCACGCUGUGAUCCCCCCCCCGCCUGCCUCCCUCCAGGCCCUGUCAAUUCACCUGGCCCUGGAGCUGCUUUGGUCUUCUUCCAUGAGAAACUCUGAGACGUUUCUUAUGCUGCUGCUCUGCUUGGAUUGCUCUGAACCUGUGCCUCCUCUAACCUGUCUGUGUUUCUAAGCCCGUGUGAUUCUUUUUCACUGCCAAGCAGCAGCCUGACCCCCAUUCUUGAUGUGGUUUCAUGCCCCACGGUAUCACACUAUCAAAAAAAUUCAAGUAACAAGCGCAUUACAGAACACGUUUUACACAAAAGCAUGGGGGAAAAUAUAAAUCCUUACAGUUUAAUGUGAGAUAAAUUAUCAAGACACUCACUUGUGAUGACUCAUCAAUAAAAACCAGUAGUGUAAUUUUAAUACAGGUUGACUCACACGUAAAAGCGAAAAGCCAGUGUGGCAUACAAAGGUUUUCUUUUGGAACACGGCUAAAGCAUUGCUUUGUAUUGACAUUUUCUCUCAGCACAGUCGAACGAGAAAUUCAUACUAGUUAAUCUUUUCCUGCAAAAUCUUUCAUUUUUCAUAAAUUGGCAUUUCACAGCAAAUGUGACACAGCACAAUGCAAC
ensembl:lncRNA